rnacentral:lncRNA from 1 species
UCUUGAAGAAUGUAGAAGAAAGUCCAAUAAAGCGUGCAUCAGAAGAAUCCUGAGUGUUGCGUGCUCCUUGCUGGCGAGGUGCGCGCGACAAAAAUCUUCCAUUUCCAUGUCUGUCAAAGAAAAUCAAGACAUAAACAGAAUCAGGUGUGCUACAACAGCAGAGCAGACAUGCCUAGAUGUCUCCCAGAACAAAUAUAGCUGCAAAUCUUUAGGUUACACUAUGAGAAAAUCCCCUAAACAUGAGGAAGAAGUCUCAAAAUAUUACAUCUUCAUGACCCAAAGAAUAAUUACCAGAUCCUUACCCAACUCAGUACUGCCAUAAAAGCUAGUCCCAUUCAUUUGAUGACAGAUCAGUCCAAUUUUUCUC